UUCGCAAUGCCCGAAAGGGUGACGAAGCGACGCCGCGUGUGGGAAGAAGGCCUUCGGGUUGUAAACCACUGUCGGGAGUUAAGAAAUGCAAGGAUAUGAAUAGUGUCUUUGCUUGACUAAGGCUCCGGAGGAAGCCACGGCUAACUCUGUGCCAGCAGCCGCGGUAAUACAGAGGCGGCAAGCGUUGUUCGGAAUUAUUGGGCGUAAAGAGCACGUAGGCGGCUAUGUAAGUCGGUUGUGAGAGCCUUCCGCUCAACGGGAGAACAGCAUCCGAUACUACAUGGCUUGAGUGCGGGAGGGGAGAGUGGAACUUCUGGUGGAGCGGUGAAAUGCGUAGAUAUCAGAAGGAACGCCGGCGGCGAAAGCGGCUCUCUGGCCCAUAACUGACGCUGAGUGUGCGAAAGCUAGGGGAGCAAACGGGAUUAGAUACCCCGGUAGUCCUAGCCGUAAACGAUGGGCACUAAGUAGAGGGGUUUU
rnacentral:rRNA from 1 species